AGGAUGGCGAUGAGAAAAAGUAAGCAUACCAGCAGAACAUAGUGAGAAGCUCUGAUCUUUGUUAUUGAUUUAUUGGCAUGUCCU
rnacentral:sRNA from 1 species